UGAAGGCAAAGACUUCUAUAUGAUUUAAUUAUCCAUGGUGAGGGCGGGGAAGUUAAAAAGGAAAUGUUUUUCCUUAUGAUUAUUUGAAUCCUUUCUCUGCUUUAACCUCUGAAUGUGGUUCCAGCCUGAAUCUGAUUCCCGAAUCAACGGUGUUUCCCCAUGGGCUUCUCCUCAGCAUUCUGCACUGAGCUACUCGCUUGAUCCAGAUGCCUCCGGCCCACAGUUCCACCAGGCAGCGGGAGAGGACCUGCUGGCCCCACCGCACGACACCAGCACGGAUCUCACGGAGGUCAUGGAGCAGAUUCACAACACGUUUCCAUCUUGCUGCCCAAAUGUUCCCAGCAGGC
rnacentral:sRNA from 1 species